CUUUUUUUGUCAUGAGUUCCUUGGGUUGUCCUGGAUCCUUGUAUUACUGAAAAUAAUUAAGACAUUCACAGUUGAUCAUUGUUCAUGAUUGUUGUUACUACGUACAACAUAUAAUAAGUACUUAAUAAAUGACUGUUGACUGACUAAAUAGGAUUGGGGAGAUGCAGCUAGUCAUUCAUCAAAAGAAUCUGAUUAUAUUAGUGGCCUAUAAACUCAAUAUGUCAAUAAUGUGACAUGAAAAAUAAAAAUGAUAAAGUGAUCUUGGGUUACAUUAAUAAGAAAUGUAGUAGGCAUAUUACAAAUAGGAUUUGUGUGCAAGGAAUGGCAUAAAAACCUGGCCAGGGGCAGGUGCAAUUGGAAAGGGAGGUAGGCCACUCUUAUGUUAAGAUGAUGGCAAAAAAAAAAGGAGAGCAGUAGUGUUGCCCUGAUAUUUGCAUCUUUAAAUACUGAGAGAAAUUCCUCGUGAAAUAUUACAGAUCCCCUGCAUAGGAUUUGUGGGAAGACAUAAAUAAAUACGCUCUGCUAGGCUCAUUGGUAGAUAUAUAAACUGGCAGAGCCAUCCCAGUAUCAAGAAGAUUCCAGAAUUCUGUCCCAUUGUACUUUAUCCCAGGCACAUUGCAUUUAAUGUGUUCCAUGGUCAUCACAUUGUUGAAACACACCUAGAGGAAGAACAUCCUCAAAUAUGUAAAAAUAAGAAGGCUGGAUCAGAUAAAUCAGAGAAACUUCUCUCUACUGGUGCGCUAGAGACAUUGAUUUGUACUGGCUUGGAAAACUGGUAAAUAUUCAGUAAUUUUGUGAGAUGAUUGCUAAACAUAGUCAAUGUGCAAUUCACUCAGGAUGUGUGCAAUUCACUUAGGACAUGUACUAGUAAUGUUACUUAAACUCUUUCUCUUCAACAUUUAUUAAAAAAACUUUCGAGUUCUAAUUCCUUCCAUCCCUUUAAUCCCUUCCCCACCAUUAAGAAGGCAAGAAAUAUGAUACCCAUUAUAUAUUUGAAAUCAUGUAAAACAUAUUUCCAUAUUAGCCAUGUUGAAAAAAAAACAAGAAAAAUAAACAAAGCAAAAAACAAUAUGCUUUCA
rnacentral:lncRNA from 1 species